GAAAUAAAACGAGUGAAAUCUAGCAGUUUCCCGAGGUUCUUACGAACUGCAGAGGAAAUCAGCCCCUCCAGGAAAUUCUGUUCUUCACUCAAAAUACAUCACAAGAAAAUCACAUUAAGCAGUGGGGAGGUAGGGAGGAAGCAGAGAGAAGGGGAGAGAGGAAAUGAAAUUAAUGCUGCACCGACUGGAUCCCAGGAGAAUAUGAGGCAACUCAAGAUGGGGAAACUGAGGCCUGGAGAGAUUAGUGCUUGCUCUGGGACUCCCGGGAGGCCAUGAGGGAGCUGGAACUUGAACCUGGAUAUCCUGACACCCAGACCCAAACUCUCUCCAGCAAACCCUCUUUCCUCCUACUAGUCUUCUCUUCUGCAUCGCUUAUGGACUUGGAUCUUCACCCCGGAGGCCCCCGGGUGCCAUCCUCUCUACCCGUCUGCCAGGAGCAGCAGGGUGGCCGCGCUGAAGAUCUUUUACUUCUAUCACGGGAGGCGAGCGUUCGGAUCUUUCCCUGCGCCAGCUCCCCGUGGAGACCUGAGAAUGUCUCUCCUGAAAGCCUCCCUGGCUGCUUCUGCAAUUAACCCUGCCAACUGUAUCCUG